rnacentral:rRNA from 1 species
UACGUAGGGUGCAAGCGUUGUCCGGAAUUAUUGGGCGUAAAGAGCUCGUAGGUGGCUUAGUAAGUCGGGUGUGAAACCUCCAGGCUCAACCUGGAGACGCCACCCGAUACUGCUAUAGCUUGAGUCCGGUAGGGGAGCGUGGAAUUCCUGGUGUAGCGGUGAAAUGCGCAGAUAUCAGGAGGAACACCGGUGGCGAAGGCGGGUCUCUGGGCCGUAACUGACGCUGAGGAGCGAAAGCAUGGGGAGCGAACAGG